AUGACGGUAGGAAUGAUGGCGCCCCAAUUACGGGGAGAAUGGGUGCUGGCCACUCAGGGUCAGACAGGAAACAGAUGGCACAUUCAACCGGGAUCAUUCAGGCUGUCAUUUGUGGCUCCCACAAGUACUCAUGACUUGGGCUCUAUAUCCAAGAUCACCAGACAGCUGUUUUCUAAAGAUGCUGGAACGGCUGGUCUCAAUGUACUUUGAAUCAUCAACGAGCCAACUGCUGCUGCUAUCGCUAUGGCUUAGACAAGAAGGUUGGUGCUGAAAGGAAUGUGCUGAUCUUUGACUUAGGAGGUGGCACUUUUGAUGUGUCAAUCCUUACUAUUGAAGAUGGGAUCUUUGAGGUCAAAUCCACAGCUGGAGACACCCACUUAGGUGGAGAAGACUUUGACAACAGAAUGGUCAACCAUUUUAUUGCAGAGUUCAAGCACAAACAUAAGAAGGACCUCAGUGAAAACAAGAGGGCAGUUCAUUGUCUCCGAACUGCUUGUGAACGUGCUAAGCAUACAGUUUCUUCCAGCACGCAGGCCAGUAUUGAGAUUGAUUCUCUAUAUGAAGGAAUCGACUUCUAUACCUCUAUUACUCGUGCCUGGUUUGAAGAAUUAAAUGCUGAUCUGUUCCAUGGCACCCUGGACCCUGUAGAGAAAGCCCUUCGGGAUGCCAAGCUAGACAAGUCUCAGAUCCAUGAUAUUGUCCUGAUGGGGGGUUCUACCCGUAUCCCCAAGAUUCAGAAACUUCUACAAGAUUUCUUCAAUGGGAAAGAACUGAAUAAGAGCAUCAACCUGAUGAGGCUGUUGCUUAUAGUGCAGCUGUCCAGGCAGCCACCCUUUCUGGAGACAAAUAUGAAAAUGUUCAAGAUUUGCUGCUGUUGGAUGUCACUCCACUUUCUCUUGGCAUCGAAACUGCUGGAGGAGUCAUGACUCUUCUCAUCAAGCAUAAUACUACCAUUCCUACCAAACAGACACAGACCUUCACUACCUACUCUGACAACCAGCCUGGUGUGCUUAUUCAAGUGUAUGAAGGUGAGCAUGCCAUGACCAAGGAUAACAACCUACUUGGCAAGUUCAAACACACAGGCAUACCUCCUGCCCCUCGUGGCGUUCCUCAGAUUGAAGUCACUUUUGAAAUUGAUGCUAAUGGUAUCCUCAAUGACUCUGCUGUGGAUAAGAGCACAGGAAAAGAGAACAAGAUUACCAUCACUAAUGACAGGGGCCGCUUGAGCAAGGAAGACAUUGAGCGCAUGGUCCUGGAAGCUGAGAAGUACAAAGCUGAAGAUGAGAAACAGCGGGACAAGGUGUCUUCCAAGAAUUCACUUGAGUCUCAGGCAUUUAACAUGAAAGCAACUGUUGAAGAUGAAAAACGUCAGGGCAAGAUCAAUGAUGAGAACAAACAGAAGAUUCUUGACAAGUGCAAUGAAAUCAUCAAUUGGCUUGAUAAGAACCAGACUGCAGAGAAGGAAGAAUUUGAACACCAGCAGAAAGAGCUCAAGAAAGUCUGCAAUCCUAUCAUUACCAAACUGUACCAGAGUGCAGGGGGCAUGCCAGGAGGAAUGCCUGGAGGCUUCCCUGGUGGUGGAGGUCCUCCCUCUGGUGGUGCCUCCUCUGGACCCACCAUCGAAGAGGUUGAUUAAGCCAACCUGAGAAUAGGUCUAGCAUUGUUCCCCAUAAAAUAUUCGAAGGACCCAAAUUUGUAGCAAAUUCCAUGACAGUUUUAAUGUUGAGCUGCUAUAGUAAAUAAACUGGGCAUUCUUGAUACUUGAAUAUGGAAUACAUGCAUAGGGAAAGGAAACAAACAUUGCACUCUAUAAGCACUGUAUUGUUAAGUGGAAAAUACAAUGUUUUAAAUAAAACUGUAUUUAAUUGGCACCAA